GUCUCUCACUGGGUACUACUUCUCCAUCACCAGCAUUAGGAAUAACAGGAAGACGCUGGCUGAGGAAGAGAGUCCCAGCAUAGAUUUUGCUGCAGUUUGACCAUGAUUUGCCUCUAACUCCUACAGACAUUGAAACGCUCAAGUCAUAAGCUGGUGGUGACAACCUGAUGCAAUGACGACUCUUCAAAGGGUUAUCAUACAAUUUCAAGUAUAUUUCAAUUGCUGAUCUAGCAGCCUUGAAAUAAAAAGCAUGUCUUCUGAGUAUAUCUUCUAACCUCAAAAGGUCAACAUAGGCACGGAGAGUCAUCUUUCUCAUGCACAUCUCUAAAAUCACACAAAAAAACUAAUGAUUCCAUCUGUCAACACAGGUAAGAAUCAUCUAUCAACACAGAUAACAAUUUAUACACAUGAGGAUCAACCAUUUGAGGAUCAGAAAUGCAAUUAUUUGUUCACAACUUUUUAUUGAAAGGCUCAACAUCAAUUAUUCAUUCUUCAGGAUGAAGCUCUCAAAGCAGUUAGUAC